rnacentral:rRNA from 1 species
AGAGUUUGAUCAUGGCUCAGGAUGAACGCUAGCUACAGGCUUAACACAUGCAAGUCGAGGGGAAACGAUAUUGGAAGCUUGCUUCCGAUAGGCGUCGACCGGCGCACGGGUGAGUAACGCGUAUCCAACCUGCCCACCACUUGGGGAUAACCUUGCGAAAGUAAGACUAAUACCCAAUGACGUCUCUAGAAGACAUCUGAAAGAGAUUAAAAGAUUUAUCGGUGAUGGAUGGGGGAUGCGUCUGAUUAGCUUGUUGGCGGGGUAACGGCCACCAAGGCUACGAUCAGUAGGGGUUCUGAGAGGAAGGUCCCCACAUUGGAACUGAGACACGGUCCAACUCCUACGGACGGNA